CUGACAUCCAUUCCCUGCCGGAUCGUUAGCAAUGAACAUCAUCCUCCCGGAACAUUCAACCCCCUUGCCUGGUCGUUGGUGUUUUCAGUGACAUCAUUGGAUCUGCCUACUCCGCUGCCGCUCCGUCUCCUGGAUUAUUCUAUUUUCACCUUGAGUCUGUAAAUAAACACUCCUUCAUUUUA